UGGGGAAUAUUGCACAAUGGGCGCAAGCCUGAUGCAGCCAUGCCGCGUGUAUGAAGAAGGCCUUCGGGUUGUAAAGUACUUUCAGUCGGGAGGAAGGUGGUAAGGUUAAUAACCUUAUCAAUUGACGUUACCGACAGAAGAAGCACCGGCUAACUCCGUGCCAGCAGCCGCGGUAAUACGGAGGGUGCAAGCGUUGAUCGGAAUUACUGGGCGUAAAGCGCACGCAGGCGGUUUGUUAAGUCAGAUGUGAAAUCCCCGGGCUCAACCUGGGAACUGCAUCUGAUACUGGCAAGCUUGAGUCUCGUAGAGGGGGGUAGAAUUCCAGGUGUAGCGGUGAAAUGCGUAGAGAUCUGGAGGAAUACCGGUGGCGAAGGCGGCCCCCUGGACGAAGACUGACGCUCAGGUGCGAAAGCGUGGGGAGCAAACAGG
rnacentral:rRNA from 1 species